UACGAAGGGGGCUAGCGUUGUUCGGAAUCACUGGGCGUAAAGCGCACGUAGGCGGAUCGUUAAGUCGGGGGUGAAAUCCCAGGGCUCAACCCUGGAACUGCCCUGGAAACUGCGCGGCUCGAGGCCGGGAGAGGAUGGUGGAAUUCCCAGUGUAGCGGUGAAAUGCGUAGAUAUUGGGAGGAACACCGGUGGCGAAGGCGGCCAUCUGGACCGGCCCUGACGCUGAGGCGCGAAAGCGUGGGGAGCAAACAGG
rnacentral:rRNA from 1 species